UGGGGAAUAUUGGACAAUGGGCGCAAGCCUGAUCCAGCAAUGCCGCGUGUGUGAAGAAGGCCUUCGGGUUGUAAAGCACUUUUAUCAGGAGCGAAACGCUGUCGGCUAAUACCCGGCGGAACUGACGGUACCUGAGGAAUAAGCACCGGCUAACUUCGUGCCAGCAGCCGCGGUAAUACGAAGGGUGCAAGCGUUAAUCGGAAUUACUGGGCGUAAAGCGUGCGUAGGCGGUUUCUUAAGUCUGCUGUGAAAUCCCCGGGCUCAACCUGGGAAUGGCAGUGGAUACUGGGAGGCUAGAGUGUGUCAGAGGGUGGUGGAAUUCCCGGUGUAGCGGUGAAAUGCGUAGAGAUCGGGAGGAACAUCAGUAGCGAAGGCGGCCACCUGGGACAACACUGACGCUGAGGCACGAAAGCGUGGGGAGCAAACAGGAUUAGAUACCCUGGUAGUCCACGCCCUAAAACGAUGCGAACUGGAUGUUGGUCUCAACUCGGAGAUCAGUGUCGAAGCUAACGCGUUAAGUUCGCCGCCUGGGGAGUACGGUCGCAAGACUGAAACUCAAAGGAAUUGACGGGGUCAUAGCUGUUUCCUG
rnacentral:rRNA from 1 species